rnacentral:rRNA from 1 species
UACGUAGGCAGCAAGCGUUGUUCGGAAUUACUGGGCGUAAAGAGUGUGUAGGCGGUGCUCUAAGUUCGGUGUGAAAUCUCCCGGCUCAACUGGGAGGGUGCGCCGGAAACUGGAGUGCUGGAGCGCGGGAGAGGAAAGCGGAAUUCCUGGUGUAGCGGUGAAAUGCGUAGAUAUCAGGAGGAACACCGGCGGUGUAGGCGGCUUUCUGGACCGUAGCUGACGCUGAGACACGAAAGCGUGGGUAGCAAACAGG